CUUAUGGGAAGGGUUACAGACCUCAGGGACGCCCGUAGCCGGGCAGGAAAUAAAUGGGGAAUACCGGUGUGAGUCCGGAGCGGUACCGCCACUGUAAGCGAGCCUGCCUCGCAAGCCAGAAAACCAGCCUGUGAGGUUGUCCAACU
rnacentral:ncRNA from 2 species